rnacentral:lncRNA from 1 species
AUGGAGAAUGAAGACACACUAUGUCUGUUGUCUUGGUCUAAAGCCAUGAUGGAGUCCCUUCUGCCAUGGCCCCAGACGUCGGGUGAUGGGCACCGUGCAGAUGUGCCCCAAGGGCACCUGCAGCACCAGGCUGGCCUCCAUAGGGUGCAUUUACUCAUUCCCAUCGUGCCUACAGUGAUGUGGUGGUCCCAUGCUGUGCACUCCUGUUCCCCGUGGCCCUCAGUGGGGUCUGGUGGUUCACACUGUGCUCUCCAAGGCAGAGCCGUGCCCAGCAGCCAGGCUGCGCAUCCCUUGCUGUGGAAGCAGGCUCGGCUCAAGCAGCGCAGGUUGAGGGAUGCAAAUUCAGCUGGAGUUUCAGCAAGAGGUGUGAAUUCUGCUGCUUCCCCCCAUACACACACACACACGUGUGGAUUGCUGUGCCAGCAGGAAAGCCCUCCUGUUGCCCUGCUGGGAAAGGUCUCGCUGCUUCACCCGACAUAA